rnacentral:lncRNA from 1 species
GGAUUAUGUAUUAUUGGGACAGCAACAUAACAACAAAAUUUUACAAAUCUAAGCAUCUGUCAACUAUCUUUAUAAAAAAAUAAUAAUAAAAAAAAUUAAAUGGAUAUAGGAAGAUGUGGUGUGAGUGCCAAUGAGACAACUCUCCAUCCAAAUAACAAUUUAAAAAAGUAAACCAUUAUAGGUUAAUGUACGGCCUUCAACAAGGAGCCUUGGCCUUGUUCAUUUCUUGAUGUCUAUAAGUCUUAAAAAAUAAAGUAGGAAGAUGUGGUAUGAUUGCCAAUUAGACAACUAUCCACUCGAGAUCAAGAACAAGGACAUAAACAACUACAGGUCACAACCUGACCUUCAACAAUGAGCAAAUCCCAUGCCUUAAAGUAAGCAGUAAAAUUGUUUUCCUCCAUCUCUAACAAACAAUGUGAAAAUCAAUUUAAAAACUCACAACCAGGCCUAACUGAAUUGAAUAUUUUAAGAGAAUAAUAACAUCAUGAUUUAAAAAAUAUGGAAGUAUGGUAUGAUUCUAAAGGGACAAGUAUCCAACAAAGUUCAAAGGUCAAGGAUAACAGCAAAAUGUGACCUUUCAUCUUCAAUAUUGAGCAAAAACCAUACCAUAAAGUAAACUAUUAACAAAGAACCUUGGACAACAAAAAGAGAAAACUGAGCAAAAGCAUUUGGUUAAAUCAAUCAAAGACAACCAUUGGACAUUAGGCUGCUGGCUUGGGACCGACAUAUAUUGCUUGAUGUAGGGACAAAUUUGUUUGUGACUGUUGAAAGCUUAAAAAAUAUUCAUAUUUUAUAAAUUAUCUUAUCUAGAAUUUACUCUAUAACUAUGUGAAAAAUAACAGGUUAAAAUUCAAGGAGUGAUAGAACUACCUUUUAGAUACUUGUAUAGCCUGAUUUUAUCGGCCAAGUUCGGAUUGAACUCGAGUUU